UACGUAGGAGGCGAGCGUUGUCCGGAAUUAUUGGGCGUAAAGAGCGCGUAGGCGGCCGUUCACGUCGGGUGUGAAAGCUCGGGGCUCAACCCUGAGAGGUCAUUCGAUACGGAUCGGCUAGAGGCAGGUAGGGGAAAGUGGAAUUCCUGGUGUAGCGGUGAAAUGCGCAGAUAUCAGGAGGAACACCAGCGGCGAAGGCGGCGCUCUGGGCUGGAACUGACGCUGAGGAGCGAAAGCGUGGGGAGCGAACAGG
rnacentral:rRNA from 1 species